AACGCGAAGAACCUUACCUGGGCUCGAAAUGUAGUGGAAUAGGGUAGAAAUAUCCUCGUCUCGCAAGAGACUGCUAUAUAGGUGCUGCAUGGCUGUCGUCAGCUCGUGUCGUGAGAUGUUGGGUUAAGUCCCGCAACGAGCGCAACCCUUAUUGCCAGUUGCCACCGGGUCAAGCCGAGCACUCUGGCGAAACCGCCCUAGAUAAUGGGGAGGAAGGUGGGGAUGACGUCAAGUCCUCAUGGCCUUUAUGUCCAGGGCUACACACGUGCUACAAUGGUCGGUACAAACCGUCGCAAACCCGCGAGGGGAAGCUAAUCGGAAAAAGCCGGCCUCAGUUCGGAUUGGAGUCUGCAACCCGACUCCAUGAAGCUGGAAUCGCUAGUAAUCGCGGAUCAGAACGCCGCGGUGAAUACGUUCCCGGGCCUUGUACACACCGCUCGCGA
rnacentral:rRNA from 1 species